GACGAACGCUGGCGGCGUGCCUAAUACAUGCAAGUUGAGCGCUGAAGGUUGGUACUUGUACCAACUGGAUGAGCAGCGAACGGGUGAGUAACGCGUGGGGAAUCUGCCUUUGAGCGGGGGACAACAUUUGGAAACGAAUGCUAAUACCGCAUAAAAACUUUAAACACAAGUUUUAAGUUUGAAAGAUACAAUUGCAUCACUCAAAGAUGAUCCCGCGUUGUAUUAGCUAGUUGGUGAGGUAAAGGCUCACCAAGGCGAUGAUACAUAGCCGACCUGAGAGGGUGGUCGGCCACAUUGGGACUGAGACACGGCCCAAACUCCUACGGGAGGCAGCAGUAGGGAAUCUUCGGCAAUGGACGAAAGUCUGACCGAGCAACGCCGCGUGAGUGAAGAAGGUUUUCGGAUCGUAAAACUCUGUUGGUAGAGAAGAACGUUGGUGAGAGUGGAAAGCUCAUCAAGUGACGGUAACUACCCAGAAAGGGACGGCUAACUACGUG
rnacentral:rRNA from 1 species